ACGUAUCGACUAUCGUUUAUAACGCUUCUACAAACACUCAUUACUUUCAAUGAAGAGAACUUUCAAAGGAUUACUAUUUCUUACAAUUUCUGUGUGUACCUAAAUUAAAAAAAACACAAUAUUAAGCAUUCAACAGAAUGCUUAAAAAUUAAAACAGUUGUGAGGAAGUUUUCUGUAAUGACUGCCACCGAAGCUCAUGAACUCAUAUGCGAUAAGUAAUCCUCUGCCUACUGCUUAGAACUCAUUUAAAAACUCCUCUUGGAGAAGGAAUAGUCGUAGCGUUCAAGAAAAGGUUCAUUUCAGAAGCGGCAUGUCGUGGCCUAAAGGACAAGAUACCAGCAGUACUUAUAUCCAGCGUUAUAACAGCACCAGCAUUCAAAUGCCUCAAAUGUCAAGAACCUUCACUCAUGCGGGUUUUAUUCGGUUAUCGAUACGUAAAGUAUUACAGCUGUUGAACGUUUAAAUAUUUGCAAAAAAAAUAUAUCCCAGAAAUUAAAUUCUCGACACUUAUACAGUGUGAUUCUUUAUAAUGUGCACAUAUCGAAAUAAGGGAAUCUAUGCUUAAUUUUAUCGAAGGAAAAAUAUUUAAAAAUACUAAAUAUGUUUUUUUUAUACUAAAUAUAUUUUUGAAUUUUUUAAUUUUUGUUCACUACUGUAACUCCGGUGUAAACAAAACGGUGUAACUUUUGAACUAAAUGAUCUAUCGCGGUUAAACAAAUUUAGGCACCAUGGAAAACCCAAAUUUUCCAACAACCAUACUAUGGAUGGACGAAGCGACAUUCACUAGAGACGACAUUACUAACUGUCGAAAUUUACACAAAUAUUGUCAUGCAGGUGAAAACCCGAAAUUGAAAUGUUCAUCGUCCUUUCAAGUAAGAUUUCGAUGAAUUUUAAUUCACGCGGCUUUGUGCCUACAACAAAGAGGUGGACAUUUUGAGAACCUCAUCAUUAAAUUUCGUGUAAAAUAAUAAAUGGUUUUAAUUGAA